AUUCAUUGUUCCAGUUCCCAACCUGAACGCACCAAAAUGAAAUUCGUUCUUGUUCUUGCAAUGCUGUUGGCCGUAGCCUAUGCUAUGCCCGCUCCCAACGAGGAAAUCGCUACCCAGCUGGCUGCCAUUGGGGAAGCCAUCGAGAACAAUCCGGAACUGGCUAACGGAUGGCUGGGAAAGGCCUGGAACUGGGUGAAGUCCAAUAAGGAUUCGCUUGGUCAGAUUGCUGGAGGAAUUCUGAGCUUGGGAUAAACCAUUCGAGUCGAUCGUAUGUUCCAUGUCACGAGCUUCUAUUGAUCGAAUCUCAUAAACAAUCGUGUGAAAAACGAACAUUCUCGUUAGGUCAGAUGCCGUGAUGCCAGUGGAAUAAAAUCGCAAUUAUAAAAAAUAUUAUUGUUUA